AAUUAUUAUAUGGAAGCCCAAAACCAUUAAAACAAUUCACAGCCCAAAAUUUUAAAAAGGGGAAAAGCCCAAAUUCUUUUCUUCCACAAUCACUCUCGGUCUCUCUCUCUAAUCUCAACUCACGCCGCUCGUCCUCCUCCUUCUCUCUCUCGCUGAAAAUCCAAUCGAGCUCUCUCUCUCGAUUCACUGCUCCGACGAGGUUGCCGGCGUCGCCGCCGCCUAAGCCCGGCAAGGUCGUGCCUCCUCCCUUUUUCCUAUCAGUCGGAUCUCUCUCUCCCUUUCCUCCCCAAAAUCUGCUCGUCCCUCUCUCCUCUCGAAAUUCACCGCCGUCGGAGCUCGCCGGAGCGAGCGGCGACAACCACUGCCCCUUGGUUCUCCCUUCUCUCACGCUGAAACAGGCCCGACAUCCCACCGCGAAGAGCGGCGCCCGAGCCCUAGCUCCCUCUCUCUCUCUCGGACUCACGGUCGCUGGGGCUACCUCCGGCGAGGCAGCUGCCGGACUUGGCCCCCUCUGCUCCAGCCGACAGCAGCAGUCAGCCGGACCGCCGCCAUCGCCGCCAUCUCUCCCUCCGACGACCAGCGACACAAUCAGAUCUCACUCUCUCUCAGCCCCCAAAGUCCAGAUCGGAAAUCCGCCCCUCCCCUCUUCUCCUUCGGCCACAGCGACCAACCAUCAGGUGCCGCCAUCAUCGUCUGAAUCCGGCGAGCGAUCGUCGUCAGCGUCGGGUCUCCGGACUUGAGGUAGCAUGCUGCCUUAGCCCUUGAGUUCCAGCGAGCGGACGCUUCGGUCGAUGCACUCUGCCCAUCGGAACAGAACUCGUUCCGCUUAUUGUUGCCGCGCUCUACCCCAAACCCCAGAUUGAACGGCAACACGCGGCAAGGAUAAAACUCGACAGGUUGCAAAUGGAAGAAAGGUGGGAACAUUAAGGCAAGCUUACCGUGAGAACUUGGCAGGAACAAGAUAGGCACUGAUCUUCAAUAAUUCUUGGUGAAAUGAAGUGAGAGUGAGAGUUGUUUGUUGGCUGAAGUUAACAACUAGUAGAGGAAGAAGUUUCUGCUGCAACUUGAGUAUGGUGGGGGAGUUGGUGGUUGUGGAGUUGGCGGGGAGCAAAGGGUAGUGGAGUUGGUGGAGUUACUUUCAUGGUUUGAAAGAUGGUGCAGGCAGCAUAGGGUAUGGUGGAAUGACCACCUACUUGCUUUUGUACUAUGCAGAUUUUCUUUUGAUUUUGUGUCAAUACUUUAGUGAGUGGUAUUAAGUGGCCACGUAGAGUCCACAACCUUUGUGGUAUACUAGACGAUUUUCCCCAAGCUGGGAACUAGACUGUAAUCUGUGAACUGUAAAUAAAUACUGGCUUCGAUUUUAAAUCA